UACGUAGGGUGCAAGCGUUAUCCGGAAUUAUUGGGCGUAAAGAGCUCGUAGGCGGUUUGUCGCGUCUGCUGUGAAAACCCGAGGCUCAACCUCGGGCCUGCAGUGGGUACGGGCAGACUAGAGUGCGGUAGGGGAGAUUGGAAUUCCUGGUGUAGCGGUGGAAUGCGCAGAUAUCAGGAGGAACACCGAUGGCGAAGGCAGAUCUCUGGGCCUAACCUGACGCUGAGGAGCGAAAGCGUGGGGAGCGAACAGG
rnacentral:rRNA from 1 species